UUAACCCAUUCCCCAUUUCUGGGCUUAUUUAAAAAAAACACAAUAGUGCACGGGAACGCGCACUAAUUUAAAAUGGGGGAAGGGCACCGCUCAUUGAACGAACGUUAACAACGUCGACGUCAUUUUUUUUAGUCAGCGCCAUUUUAGCUCGCCCACCGCCUAGCAACUGUUGGAAUAACGAUACGUGAUAACACAAUUGUUUGACUUCUGGGGACUUCACAUCUCUUUUCGAGUCAAGCCCGACAACACUUUUCUAAACUAAAAAGCAGCAGUAGAGAUUAACAAGAGACACAUUGGAGAGAGAUCCGGAUUGCAGCACCAGGACCUAGGUGGAAGUGAACUUUGGUUGCUACAAUAAUGGUGUUGUACGCAACAAGGACCUCUUCAAUCCCUUUUUCCUGACAGUAUCCAUUUGGAUUUCGAUACUUUUCAAGAAUAAAUAGCGCUGGAAAUUUCAGUGCUUCCAACUUUGCAGAAAUGUGGGAUGGCCAAGUCUCAGAGUGCUAAGCUUCAGUGAGUACAUUUCAUUCAUAAGCUUUUAAAGUAACUGCCCUGCAUCAAUAUUUGUCAGAUCAUACAUGUUACCUUUUGGUCAGCUGCUCAAAUAACUUUACUCUGUUGUCACUGAUAUGAUAAAAUUGUGGAACUAAAAUCUUUUUUUUU